rnacentral:lncRNA from 1 species
AUGAAUCAUGGCCGUUUGCAGGCAGUGAGCCUGUCCCCCUCUCCUGUCUCCGGGUCUCUUCCUUACCCCCAUGACACCACCCCCCCCAGGAGGCAGCAGGCAGAAGCAUUGAGCCCUACUCGUUGGGAGCUGGGCACCAUCGUUGCCAGAAGGAAACACUUGCCGAACCGAAAACCAACCACAGCUCUAGGCCCCUCGGAGAACUGGGGUCACAGAACUGACAGCGCCCAAUCCCGCGAGCGAGGUGCACCCCGCGACGAGCCCCGAAAGCCCCUUUCCUGCAGCAGAAGCUGGCGGAGCCUGAGGCCGGGAGCAGCCCUCAGGUGCAAUUGUGCCCAAGAGCCGGAGGGGGCUGUGAACGGCAGUGCCCGGGAGUCCCCCGCGCCAGGAGCCCACGACCAGCCUCGGCCACUUGGCCACCAAGGCCUUUCUUCAUCUUUCGAAAGGACAACAGCCGCGAGGGCCACGGAACACACCCUCCGUCCUGGGAGCGAGGCCUGGGCAAGACGCGAGCCGAAACCGGACGCACAAACCAGCUCGCUCGGGGACGGGACACCUAAGGGCACUAGAGCUACAGCUGACAUCCCCCAGAGUCCUGGUCCCAGGGCCUGGCACGCGAAGCCUCACGCUCAGGGCCCGUCUCCCCCACGGCCUAUUAACGCCCACCGCGGGCCGCCGUCAGCCGGAAGACCAGGCGAGCCCAGAGCCCAGGAAACAGCUUCCAGAGGCCAAGGCAGCGGGAGGACAAGACCCCUGCAACAGAGACGUCCCCGUCACGGGCCCAGGGACGGGAAGGGACCAGGAUCGGGACCCGCAGGGCGCCACAGAGAAGAAAGCAGACGACGCGGGAGAACCCGUGUACCGGGGUGUGCAGACGGGGGUCUGCGAGUCACAGCGAGGUCUGGGGCUCACGACCACCGAGGCGGACACGGGCAGCGCUGCCGACGGCGCCUCAGUGGACUCACAGCCCCGGGGACCCGGGGAGCCCGGAGCCCCCGCACGAGCCAUCUCCCCAGGGCGACGCCAAGACGAGGUGAGAACACAGACCGCCCCUCGCGUGCGGGCCUGCUCCUGAGCAACACGCGGCGUUGCAAGGCCCGGGAGGAGCGGAGAAGGGCCCAGGGCCCCUGGAGCCGAGCGGCACGUUAA